rnacentral:rRNA from 1 species
GAUGAACGCUGGCGGCGUGCCUAACACAUGCAAGUCGAGCGGCAGCGAAGGGUGCUUGCACCCUGUCGGCGAGCGGCGGACGGCUGAGUAACGCGUGGGAACGUGCCCCAAAGUGAGGAAUAACUGCCCGAAAGGGUAGCUAAUACCGCAUAUUAUCUUCGGAUCAAAGGAUUUAUCCGCUUUGGGAGCGGCCCGCGUCGGAUUAGGUAGUUGGUGAGGUAAUGGCUCACCAAGCCGACGAUCCGUAGCUGGUCUGAGAGGAUGACCAGCCAGACUGGAACUGAGACACGGUCCAGACUCCUACGGGAGGCAGCAGUGAGGAAUCUUCCACAAUGGGCGAAAGCCUGAUGGAGCAACGCCGCGUGCAGGACGAAGGCCUUCGGGUUGUAAACUGCUUUUAUAAGUGAGGAAUAUGACGGUAACUUAUGAAUAAGGAUCGGCUAACUACGUGC